rnacentral:rRNA from 1 species
AUUGAACGCUGGCGGCAUGCCUUACACAUGCAAGUCGAACGGCAGCACGGGGCAACCUGGUGGCGAGUGGCGAACGGGUGAGUAAUGCAUCGGAACGUACCUUUCAGUGGGGGAUAACGUAGCGAAAGUUACGCUAAUACCGCAUAUUCUGUGAGCAGGAAAGCAGGGGAUCGCAAGACCUUGCGCUGAUUGAGCGGCCGAUGUCAGAUUAGCUAGUUGGUGAGGUAAAGGCUCACCAAGGCGACGCUCUGUAGCGGGUCUGAGAGGAUGAUCCGCCACACUGGAACUGAGACACGGUCCAGACUCCUACGGGAGGCAGCAGUGGGGAAUUUUGGACAAUGGGGGCAACCCUGAUCCAGCCAUGCUGCGUGAGUGAAGAAGGCCUUCGGGUUGUAAAGCUCUUUCGGCCGGGAAGAAAUCGCACGGGCUAAUACCCUGUGUGGAUGACGGUACCGGAAUAAGAAGCACCGGCUAACUACGUGCCAGCCGCCGCUGUAAAAC